rnacentral:rRNA from 1 species
CGGGUGAGUAACACGUGGAUAACCUACCUAUAAGACUGGGAUAACUUCGGGAAACCGGAGCUAAUACCGGAUAAUAUUUUGAACCGCAUGGUUCAAAAGUGAAAGACGGUCUUGCUGUCACUUAUAGAUGGAUCCGCGCUGCAUUAGCUAGUUGGUAAGGUAACGGCUUACCAAGGCAACGAUGCAUAGCCGACCUGAGAGGGUGAUCGGCCACACUGGAACUGAGACACGGUCCAGACUCCUACGGGAGGCAGCAGUAGGGAAUCUUCCGCAAUGGGCGAAAGCCUGACGGAGCAACGCCGCGUGAGUGAUGAAGGUCUUCGGAUCGUAAAACUCUGUUAUUAGGGAAGAACAUAUGUGUAAGUAACUGUGCACAUCUUGACGGUACCUAAUCAGAAAGCCACGGCUAACUACGUGCCAGCAGCCGCGGUAAUACGUAGGUGGCAAGCGUUAUCCGGAAUUAUUGGGCGUAAAGCGCGCGUAGGCGGUUUUUAAGUCUGAUGUGAAAGCCCACGGCUCAACCGUGGAGGGUCAUUGGAAACUGGAAAACUUGAGUGCAGAGGAGGAAAGUGGAAUUCCAUGUGUAGCGGUGAAAUGCGCAGAGAUAUGGAGGAACACCAGUGGCGAAGGCGACUUUCUGGUCUGUAACUGACGCUGAUGUGCGAAAGCGUGGGGAUCAAACAGGAUUAGAUACCCUGGUAGUCCACGCCGUAAACGAUGAGUGCUAAGUGUUAGGGGGUUUCCGCCCCUUAGUGCUGCAGCUAACGCAUUAAGCACUCCGCCUGGGGAGUACGACCGCAAGGUUG